UACGAAGGGGGCGAGCGUUGUUCGGAAUCACUGGGCGUAAAGGGUGUGUAGGCGGUUGUUUAAGUUUGGUGUGAAAUCUCCCGGCUCAACUGGGAGGGUGCGCCGAAUACUGAAUGACUAGAGUGCGGGAGAGGAAAGUGGAAUUCCUGGUGUAGCGGUGAAAUGCGUAGAUAUCAGGAGGAACACCGGUGGUGUAGACGGCUUUCUGGACCGUAACUGACGCUGAGACACGAAAGCGUGGGUAGCAAACAGG
rnacentral:rRNA from 1 species